UGUCCGUCCGUCCGUCUGUCACACUUUUCUUCCCUGAACUCCUCCUACAUUUUACACAGUAGCUUAAUCAUCUUUUGGGAGAUGGUUGGUGGGGUCAUGUAGAUGUGCAGUAAGGUUUUGGAAUUUUGAUUUUGCCCCGGGGGGUCAAAUGGGGGUCGAAAAUGAUGUUUUUUAUGCAAAAAGCCCCGUCUUCCCUGAACUCCUCUUACAUUUUAUUCAGGGGCCUAAUCAUCUUUUGGGAGAUGGUUGGUGGUGUCAUGUAGAUGUGCAGUAAGGUUUCAGAAUUUUGAUUUUGCCCUGGGGGGUCAAAUGGGUGUCGAAAAAUGACUUUUUUAAUGCAAAAAGACCCUUCUUCCCUGAACUCCUCUUACAUUUUACUCAGCAGCCUAAUCAUCUUUUGGAAGAUGGUUGGUGGGGUCAUGUAGAUGUGCAGUAAGGUUUUGGAAUUUUUAUUUUGCCCCGGGGGGUCAAAUGGGGGUCGAAAAAUGAUGUUUUUUAUGCAAAAAGCCCCGUCUUCCCUGAACUCCUCUUACAUUUUACUCAGGGGCCUAAUCAUCUUUUGGGAGAUGGUUGGUGGUGUCAUGUAGAUGUGCAGUAAGGUUUCAGAAUUUUGAUUUUGCCCUGGGGGGUCAAAUGGGUGUCGAAAAAUGACUUUUUUAAUGCAAAAAGACCCUUCUUCCCUGAACUCCUCUUACAUUUUACUCAGCAGCCUAAUCAUCUUUUGGGAGAUGGUUGGUGGGGUCAUGCAGAUGUGUAUUAAGGUUUCUGAAUUUUGAUUUUGCCCCAGGGGGUCAAAUGGGGGUCGAAAAAUGACGUUUUUUAUGCUAAAAACCCCAUCUUCCCUGAACUCCUCUUACAUUUUAUUCAGCAGCCUAAUCAUCUUUUGGGAGAUGGUUGGUGGGGUCAUGUAGAUGUGCAGUUAGGUUUCGGAAUUUUGAUUUUGCCCGGGGGGUCAAAUGAGGGUCAAAAAAUGAUGUUUUUUAUGGAAAAAGCCCAGUCUUCCCUAAACUCCUUUUUCGUUUUAAACAGUGGUCUUAUCCUCUUUUGGGAGAGUUCACUCUUUUGAAAUUUUUUUAAAACAUCAAGGUGAAGGGGUAAAAAAUCAUAGCAUGUUGGGAAACAUCUUGUUAUGGGUAAUGUUCACUUGAAAUGUGAAAGUCGAAUCUCUUCUCAAUGAAAAGGAAAUACAACAUUAAUGAAAACUAAGUUAAACUUCAAGGUCAAGGUCACAGAGUCAAAAAGUCAUGAUACAUUUGGAAAGGUCUUAUCACAGGUAAUAUGAAUGCCCUUUCAUUUAUCUUUCAAAAUGAUCAAUUUAAAGCAAUUAAUUUGUUUAUGAAAUUAGGUCAAACUUCAAGGUCAUGGGUAAUAAAAAUCAUAGUGUAUUUAGAAUGGUAUUGUCCCAUUUAAUACCAAUACGCAUGUUUAAUAUAAAAGUCCUGUCUCUUCUCAUUCAAAAUAUAUGACCAUAUGACCAAGGUUAAAUUUAUUGUGACAGAUGGGCAGAUUGACAAACAAAUGAGAUUUAAUGUACCCUACCUUUAGCGAAAAUGGGGGACAAUAAAUGUCUUUGCUGUUCUUAAGAAGAUUUAUGUUGGAAUAAGUCCCCUGCAUAUUUAAAUGUAAAUUGGUUGAAAUUGGCCCAGUGGUUCUUAAGAAGUUAAUGUGAAAAGUUUGCAGACAAACAGAUGGACAACAGAAAUCAGUACAUUUCAGAAAACAGUAUGCUUAUAAAUAGUUAAUCAAGGUGCUUUGGGUAGCAAAAUAAAGCUAAACUGGUAUAUCUAAUUCAUCCGCAGAGCUUAGUAUAUUUUAAUAUGCACAACCUUUUCAACUCUUAUCAUAAUUAUUUUUUAAAAUUUAUAUCACCAUGUCUCAUUCAAGGGAGAACUAGAGAUAUGACCAGAUGUAUAUCUGUUGAAUAUAAAAUAUGUACAUGUA